AUUGAACGCUGGCGGCAUGCCUUACACAUGCAAGUCGAACGGAUUUUGGGGCUUGCUCCAAAGUUAGUGGCGAACGGGUGAGUAAAUCAUCGGAACGUACCCAGUCGUGGGGGAUAACGUAGCGAAAGUUACGCUAAUACCGCAUACGAUCUGAGGAUGAAAGCGGGGGACCUUCGGGCCUCGCGCGAUUGGAGCGGCCGAUGUCGGAGUAGCUAGUUGGUGAGGUAAAGGCUCACCAAGGCCACGAUCCGUAGCUGGUCUGUGAGGACGACCAGCCACACUGGGACUGAGACACGGCCCAGACUCCUACGGGAGGCAGCAGUGGGGAAUUUUGGACAAUGGGCGAAAGCCUGAUCCAGCCAUGCCGCGUGAGUGAAGAAGGCCUUCGGGUUGUAAAGCUCUUUCAGACGGAAAGAAAUCUCUCGGGUGAAUAUCCCGGGAGGAUGACGGUACCGUAAGAAGAAGCACCGGCUAACUACGUGCCAGCCGCCGCGGUAA
rnacentral:rRNA from 1 species